rnacentral:rRNA from 1 species
GAUGAACGCUGGCGGCGUGCCUAAUACAUGCAAGUCGAGCGAACAGACGAGGAGCUUGCUCCUCUGACGUUAGCGGCGGACGGGUGAGUAACACGUGGAUAACCUACCUAUAAGACUGGGAUAACUUCGGGAAACCGGAGCUAAUACCGGAUAAUAUAUUGAACCGCAUGGUUCAAUAGUGAAAGACGGUUUUGCUGUCACUUAGAGAUGGAUCCGCGCCGGAUUAGCUAGUUGGUAAGGUAACGGCUUACCAAGGCAACGAUGCGUAGCCGACCUGAGAGGGUGAUCGGCCACACUGGAACUGAGACACGGUCCAGACUCCUACGGGAGGCAGCAGUAGGGAAUCUUCGGCAAUGGGCGAAAGCCUGACGGAGCAACGCCGCGUGAGUGAUGAAGGUCUUCGGAUCGUAAAACUCUGUUAUUAGGGAGGAACAAAUGUGUAAGUAACUAUGCACGUCUUGACGGUACCUAAUCAGAAAGCCACGGCUAACUACGUG